rnacentral:rRNA from 1 species
GAUGAACGCUGGCGGCGUGCCUAAUACAUGCAAGUCGAGCGAACAGACGAGGAGCUUUCUCCUCUGACUUUAGCGGCGGACGGGUGAGUAACACGUGGAUAACCUACCUAUAAGACUGGGAUAACUUCGGGAAACCGGAGCUAAUACCGGAUAAUAUAUUGAACCGCAUGGUUCAAUAGUGAAAGACGGUUUUGCUGUCACUUAUAGAUGGAUCCGCGCCGCAUUAGCUAGUUGGUAAGGUAACGGCUUACCAAGGCAACGAUGCGUAGCCGACCUGAGAGGGUGAUCGGCCACACUGGAACUGAGACACGGUCCAGACUCCUACGGGAGGCAGCAGUAGGGAAUAUUCCGCAAUGGGCGAAAGCUUGACGGAGCAACGCCGCGUGAGUGAUGAAGGUCUUCGGAUCGUAAAACUCUGUUAUUAGGGAAGAAAAAAUGUGUAAGUAACUAUGCACGUCUUGACGGUACCUAAUCAGAAAGCCACGGCUAACUACGUG